UACGGAGGGGGCUAGCGUUGUUCGGAAUUACUGGGCGUAAAGCGCGCGUAGGCGGCUUUGUAAGUUAGAGGUGAAAGCCCGGAGCUCAACUCCGGAACUGCCUUUAAGACUGCAUCGCUAGAAUUGUGGAGAGGUGAGUGGAAUUCCGAGUGUAGAGGUGAAAUUCGUAGAUAUUCGGAAGAACACCAGUGGCGAAGGCGGCUGACUGGACAUGUAUUGACGCUGAGGUGCGAAAGCGUGGGGAGCAAACAGG
rnacentral:rRNA from 1 species